UAGCGGGAGGCUNAAUACAUGCAAGUCGAACGGGAAUAAUAGCUUCGGUUGUUAUUCUAGUGGCGCACGGGUGAGUAACGCGUACGCAAUCUACCUUCAAGAGGGGGAUAGCCCUGGGAAACUGGGAGUAAUACCGCAUAGUUCUGCGAUGAUGCAUAUUGUAGCAGAUAAAGCUGAGGCGCUUGAAGAUGAGCGUGCGUCUUAUUAGGUAGUUGGCGGGGUAACGGCCCACCAAGCCGACGAUCAGUAAGGGGCGUGAGAGCGUGGCCCCUCACACGGGUACUGAGACACGGACCCGACUCCUACGGGAGGCAGCAGUAAGGAAUAUUGGACAAUGGGCGGAAGCCUGAUCCAGCCAUCCCGCGUGCUUGAUGAAGGCCCUCUGGGUUGUAAAGAGC
rnacentral:rRNA from 1 species